rnacentral:rRNA from 1 species
CGAGUGAACCGGGAAGAGCUCAAAUUUGAAAUCUGGCGUCCUCAGGGCGUCCGAGUUGUAAUCUAUAGAGGCGUUUUCCGUGCCGGACCGUGUCCAAGUUCCUUGGAACAGGAUAUCAAAGAGGGUGACAAUCCCGUACUUGACACGACGACCGGUGCUCUGUGAUACGUCUUCUACGAGUCGAGUUGUUUGGGAAUGCAGCUCAAAAUGGGUGGUGAGUUCCAUCUAAAGCUAAAUAUUGGCGAGAGACCGAUAGCGAACAAGUACCGUGAGGGAAAGAUGAAAAGCACUUUGGAAAGAGAGUUAAACAGUACGUGAAAUUGUUGAAAGGGAAACGAUUGAAGUCAGUCGUGACCGAGAGGCUCAGCCGGCUCUGCCGGUGUAUUCCCCUCGGUCGGGUCAACAUCAGUUUUGUCCGGUGGAUAAGGGCGGUAGGAAGGUGGCACCCUCGGGUGUGUUAUAGCCUGCCGUCGCAUACAUCGGGUGAGACUGAGGAACGCAGCUCGCCUUUAUGGCCGGGGUUCGCCCACGUCCGAGCUUAGGAUGUUGACAUAAUGGCUUUAAACGACCCGUCUUGAAACACGGGAAC